rnacentral:rRNA from 1 species
UACGUAGGGUGCAAGCGUUGUCCGGAAUUAUUGGGCGUAAAGAGCUCGUAGGCGGUUUGUCGCGUCUGCUGUGAAAACUCGGGGCUUAACCCCGGGCCUGCAGUGGGUACGGGCAGACUAGAGUGCGGUAGGGGAGACUGGAAUUCCUGGUGUAGCGGUGAAAUGCGCAGAUAUCAGGAGGAACACCGGUGGCGAAGGCGCCCACCUGGCCUGCUACUGACGCUGAAGCUCGAAAGCUAGGGGAGCAAACGGG